GCCAGGCAUAGUGGCGCAUGCCUAUAGUCCCAGCUACUCGGGAGGUGGGAGGAUCGCUUGAGCCCAGGAGCUCUGGGCUGUAGUGUGCUAUGCUGAUCAGGUGUCAGCACCAAGUUUGUCAUCAAUAUGGUGACCUCCCAGGAGCGGGGGACCACCAGGUUGCCUAAGGAGGGAUGAACCGGCCCAGGUCAGAAACGGAGCAGGUCAAAACUCCCAUGCUGAUCAGUAGUGGGAUCGUGCCUGUGAACAGCCACUGCACUCCAGCCUGGGCAACAUAGCGAGACCCCGU
ensembl:misc_RNA Metazoa_SRP Metazoan signal recognition particle RNA